ACUUUUUUUCCUUUUUCCAUCACCUGAAGCUUUUAUUUGGUAAAAGCCAGAUCACCAUGCUCCUCAAGAAACAAGAGGCUACAAUCUAAAAAACUAUUGAUAUUGGUAGGAAAUGUUCAACUAAAUUCUAUGAUAAUUAAUGAACCUUAUAUCUAUUCAAUUUCCUGUGAAAUAUAAAGAACAAUGUGUGUUUUUUUUUAACUUUUAAGUUCGGGGUACGUGUGCAGGUUUGCUACACAGGUAAACUUGUGCCAUGGGGGUUUGUUGUACACAUUAUUUCAUCACCCAGGUAUUAAGCCUAGUACCCAGGAGUUAUUUUUCCUGAUUCUCUCCCUCCUCCCACCCUCCACCCUUUGAUAGGCCUCAGUGCGUGGUGUUCCCCUCUAUGUGUCCCUGUAUUCUCAUCAUUUAGCUCCCACUUAUAAGUGGGAACAUGCAGUAUUUGGUUUUCUGUUCCUGUGUUAGUUUACUAAGGAUAAUGACCUCCAGCUACAUCCAUGUCCCUGCAAAUGCAGGACAUGAUCUUGUUCUGAAAGAAUUUUUUAAUUUGGGAAUUUUCAUAUAGAGCAUCUUUGCCAAUCUAUUUGUUUAGAGACUUUUAUAUGAGGAACAGGAAUGGGAGAAUUGCUAUAUAAAUGUAUAUUUACUUGAGGUGAAUCCAACAUGAUAUUUGUAAGACUUAGAUCAUCAUUUUUAUCCAUAUGUGUUCUGUGCUUUUUCCCACCACUCUUUCCCACCAAGUGAGCCUGUUUCUCACUUGGAAUACACUCUUUCUUACCCUCCUCAUAUCCUAAUUUUCUUUCGGCUCAAAUCCCACCUUCUCUGCAAAACCUUUCUUGAUUGCUCCCAACAGAAGGGAUCUUUCUCUUGUCUGAAUGCAUGUAGAAAAAUCAUUUGGCCGUUAAACUGAUAUUACCUUUUUGAUGUCUCUUUUAUUGUUCUACGUAGUUGUCACUUAAGCCUUUCCUUGCUACUCAUUUUUCAAGCCUAUCUUCCCAACUAGAAUGUGAACUCCCUAAGGGCAGGCACUUCCAUGUCUUUUGCAUCUUUGUAGCUUCUCUAGCACCUAGCAUUAUGGCUUAUACAUAAUAGAUGCUCAAUAAACACUUGUUUUUUUUAGAGUUUCCCCAAAGUGAGUAAUUAACUACAAAAGAUCUGGAUCAUCUAGAAGUUCCAAAAGUCCAUAAAUCAACAAAUAAUAAUCAGGUGGCUGGCCAAAUAUGACCAUCAUUGUGUUAGACAUUAUGAAGAGGUAAAAAAAAUUCAAGGCCUAGUACAUUUUCUAAAGGAUUAAAAAAAUCUCAUGGAGGCAAUAUUUAUACCUAUGAAUCAAUACAAGUAUAAAACAAUUGUGUGCAUGUAUAGCAAAUAAAAUGGGACGAUGGAUAUGAAAUAAGCUUUGUCAUGAUACAGAAGAUGUCUUGUUUAUUUCCACAGCACCUAACAGGAAGCCAGAGUAGGUCCUCUGAAGGUGUUUGUUCAAUGAACUUGUCAUCCUCCUCAACUUAAAGCCUUUAGCUUUUCCAAUUUGGAGGCACAAAUAAGUGAGAACUUGGGGAUCCACUGAGGUCUGAGGCACGGUGGUACCAGAGGAGAUGAAGGGGCUUUCAGCAUGAAGCUGGUCCCCUGUCGACAGCACGCUGAUUUUCCCGUUGGGCUCUAUCAGCAUGUCCACUGUGAGGUUGGUGACAUUGUCUGCAGGUGGGAAUGCUUCGAUCACACCCCCUGGUGGGAAAAACAUGGAGUAGGUGAAAGGACACAUGCAUUUUGUUUGACUUGGGCUCAGAUUCUGCAUCUGCCAUGUCUUGAAAGACUUUGGGCAAGUAGCUUACAUUCUCUGAACUUAUUUUUCUUUAUCCGUAAUAUGGGCAUAAUAAAGCCUACCUCAUUAGAUUGUUGUGCAUCUUGGAGAUACUGUAUCUAUCUAUAGUAUUCAGCCCAGCGCUUGGUAUAUUGUAGGGCUCAAUGAAUGGUAAUUUUGAUUCUGAUUAUAAUUUGAAGACACUGUGAGGAUCACUGGGUCUAUGCCCACUUAUUAAACAGGGAACCCAAGAAUUAUGGUCAAAUCCCUCAUGGGGAAUUAACGGCCCAUAGUCCACAGUUGACAUCUUGAUUACCAGUGUGCUCUUUUUGGUAAACUUCACUGCUUUUUGAAGGUUUGACAGGUUUGGGCUUUUUGUGGGCAGAGAGAACAUUGACCAUCAUGUCAGCCAAAGGACUUCUAUAUAAAGCCAGUUAUAAAACAUUUUUAAAAAUAUAGAACCAAGAGAUAUUGCCGUGUUUGAAGAACACAUAUGCUCUCUCUGCUGAUAAUGAGAGCUUUAUAAUUUAUUACAUUUUACCCUUUGCUUUGAAUGCCAAAAAUCAUAGAGGCAAGUCUGGUGUUCAAGCACAGCAAUAACAUCUUUCUGGCUAAUUUGUGGGCUAUCUCAGUGGUGUCCACAAAAAUUACAUAGCCCCAAUCUUCUGUUUUUAGGCCCAACUUACAAAUCUUACUGUAUAUGUCCUCUUUGUAGAGAAAAACUUUAAGAUAUUAUUUGUAAAGAGUUAAAUAAUUUAAAAGUAAAAACAACAAAGUGUUCCAUAGAUAGGGUGCCGUCUAGAACCUGACAGCACUAAGAGAAACUUGGCCUGUAUUUCACAAAUUUGCUGGGGGCUGGGAGAAGUGUGACCUCUGCCUACAGGUGUAAGCCACAGACUUUGAAUAGCAUACAAAGAAAAAAAUGAGCAGUUUUCAAAUGCAGUCAUCUGUUACUUCAUCUAAAAAGCACUUUCCUUAAAUGUCUAUAAAUUUGGUCAGAGGUAGUCCUAACAAACACCAAGUUUCAAAAGGAAAACCGAUUUUGGAGUGUACAUAUUCAAAUCCUAAUUUUUCUAUUUGGUUUGUUUGAGACAUGCUUUUCUUCAAAUGAGGCCUACUCGUGUGUGCUACACCUAAAUACCAGUUGCUGGGGAUUUAGCAAGGUAAAUGCAACAAAACAACAAUGACAAAAAUCUACAGAAGUAAAAAACCUAGUGAGUCUCUAUGCUUUGGUUAACUUUGUGCCUUUAGCCGUCACCUAUGUUUUGAAAGAUAGUGCUUCAGUGGAAACACACUAUCAUUCAUAACUUACAAGAUUACUUGGGUAUUUUAUUUCAAAGUAGCUUACUUGCACUAUCUUCUCAGCAUCAUGACCACAACCUUUUCACUGUUACUUUUUUUCCACUCAAAGCAAUUAAUUCCUCCUCUGAAAAAGGUAUUGCCACAAAGUUAGACCCUGUCUCUACAAAAAAAUUGUGAAUUGUAAACAAUAAAUUAGCUGGGCGUGGGGGUGUGCGCCUGUAGUACCAGCUACUCAGAAGGCUGAGAUGGGAGUAUUGCUUGAGCCUGGGAGGCCAAGGCUGCAGUGAGCUAUAAUUGUGCCACUGCACUCCAGUCUGGGUGAUAGAGCGAGACCCUAUCUCAAAAAAUAAAAAUUAAAAUGAAAAAGUAUUGCUUCUGAUAUAAUCCUAUGACAAUUUAGAAAUCAAACCCUAGCACAUUUUGUGGCCAUAAGCACACUGGAGAGAACAUAAAUGGAAUGAAACAGGCAAUGGUGGAAGCUGGAGGGAGGGAGAUGGUGACCUUAGAGUUGGGAAACCUGGGAGACACCCUGGCUCAGUUAGGGACCAUUGAUGCAGGGCCUGCUGUAUGCACUGGGUCGAGAGAAAGGCAGAAGCUUUGAAAACACAUGACUUUCAAGAACCAGGUUUUUUAAAUGUACUAAAAUUGUAGGAUCUAACUUUGUGUUCCAUUUACCACUUAUUUGUGGUGUGAUUUUCCCCAAGUCCCCUCCAAUCUCUGAGCUUCAGUGUCUUCAUGAAGAAAAUUAAGUUAACAAGGCUUGUACUGCUCUCCAUAAAUAAGCAUGGCUGAGAAAGCAGGAUAAAGAUGAACAGGAGGUAGAGGUGAAGCCUUAGCUUGUGGUUAUACAGCUCAGAUGAGACAGUCGCUGGGAAAGCCUUUCUCAUCUACAAAACUCACAUGAAAAGAAAUAGUUUAGAGGGAGGCUUUUGCAGGCAGAUGCUGGAAGAUCUGGAAAUUUCCUAAUGACCUGGACGGGCCUGGAGAUCAUCAUGGUCUUCCCCCGAUAACUUAAAAAAAAAAAAAA
ensembl:lncRNA IQCH-AS1 IQCH antisense RNA 1